CUGCGCACCACUCAGCCACUAUCCACGUUGACCAAUCUGACCUGGAAUGUUAAAAUUGAAGGAAUGAGUAUUACUCAGUAGGAUACGUGCGUCCAAAUAAUAUAAUAACUUUUAAAACAUGAAUUUACAACAUUCCAUACCAUCAUUCCAUCAAGAGCAAUCGGUGAUCAAUCGAAUACUCUAACAUAUUUGAGAUGACUCGAAGGAGAUCUCACAUUUCAUUUCAUAAGGACCCGCAGGUCAAUUAACAUUUCAUGAAAUAAAUCACGUAAAAAAAAUUAUAAUAUUGCAAGGAUAAAUCACUUGCACAUAGUAUCCUACCUCGUUAGAUCAAUAAAUUUUUGAAAGAAUAAUCCAAGAGAAUAUUUCAAUUUCCAGACUUCUGCAACUUCCUUGCGCGUAAUUAAAGAAGGAGGAUGGCUUUGUGCUUCUAAAAUAUGUUCCAACAAUUUGACCUUUGCAGAAUAUUUAUAGUAAAAAAAAGGAAAAAGGAGUUUUGGUGCCUUUGAAAUUGAGAAACCGUGUAUGUGCGUGGAAUAGAUGGACAGUAAAAGCAAGGAAGCUAUUGAAUUUAAAGAGCAGAACCAAAGUUAAAG
rnacentral:lncRNA from 1 species